rnacentral:tRNA from 2 species
GGAGGCGUGCCAGAGCGGCCGAAUGGGGCUCCCUGCUAAGGAGUUGCCUGCUUCACGGCGGGCCGGAGGUUCGAAUCCUCUCGCCUCCGCCA